CCAGAGGGCCGGGCGGCCGCGUCAUGUGUCGAACAUGCCGAGGAAAGUCCGGGCUCCACGGAACAACGGUGCCGGGUAACGCCCGGCGGGGGCAACCCCAGGGAAAGUGCCACAGAGAGAAGACGGCGACCGUUUCGACGACGCCACGGUGAAAGGGUGCGGCAAGAGCGCACCGCGCCUCCGGCAACGGCAGGCGGCAUGGUAAACCCCACCGGGAGCAAAACCGAAUAGGGGCGGCACAGGGGCGUGUUCCCGCCCGUCGCCCGGGUUGGUUGCUGGAGCCGGCGAGCAAUCGUCGGCCAAGAGGAAUGGUCGCCUAUCCCCGUUCGCGGGGUGGACAGAACCCGGCUUACAGGCCCUCUGGCGUU
rnacentral:RNase_P_RNA from 1 species